CGAGUGGCGGACGGGUGAGUAAUGCUUGGGAACUUGCCUUUGCGAGGGGGAUAACAGUUGGAAACGACUGCUAAUACCGCAUAAUGUCUUCGGACCAAACGGGGCUUCGGCUCCGGCGCAAAGAGAGGCCCAAGUGAGAUUAGCUAGUUGGUAAGGUAACGGCUUACCAAGGCGACGAUCUCUAGCUGUUCUGAGAGGAAGAUCAGCCACACUGGGACUGAGACACGGCCCAGACUCCUACGGGAGGCAGCAGUGGGGAAUAUUGCACAAUGGGGGAAACCCUGAUGCAGCCAUGCCGCGUGUGUGAAGAAGGCCUUCGGGUUGUAAAGCACUUUCAGUUGUGAGGAAAAGUUAGUAGUUAAUACCUGCUAGCCGUGACGUUAACAACAGAAGAAGCACCGGCUAACUCCGUGCCAGCAGCCGCGGUAAUACGGAGGGUGCGAGCGUUAAUCGGAAUUACUGGGCGUAAAGCGCACGCAGGCGGUUUGUUAAGCUAGAUGUGAAAGCCCCGGGCUCAACCUGGGAUGGUCAUUUAGAACUGGCAGACUAGAGUCUUGGAGAGGGGAGUGGAAUUCCAGGUGUAGCGGUGAAAUGCGUAGAUAUCUGGAGGAACAUCAGUGGCGAAGGCGACUCCCUGGCCAAAGACUGACGCUCAUGUGCGAAAGUGUGGGUAGCGAACAGGAUUAGAUACCCUGGGUAGUCCACACCGUAAACGCUGUCUACUAGCUGUGUGUGCCUUUAAGACGUGCGUAGCGAAGCUAACGCGCUAAGUAGACCGCCUGGGGGAGUACGGCCGCAAGGUUAAAACUCAAAUGAAUUGACGGGGGGCCCGCACAAGCGGUGGAGCAUGUGGGU
rnacentral:rRNA from 1 species